rnacentral:rRNA from 1 species
AUGGAAACGAUUCUAUUUGAGUAUAUUGUCUCAUUGGGUUUGUCAUUGUCGAUAGCUAUUCUUGUCGCCGUUAGGGCUGGCCGGAUGAUCCAUCACAUAAAUGCUAUUAAUGUUGAAACACAAGUAACUGAUAUAUCCAAAGAUGUUCUUAAAGAACAAAUCAUUUAUCAAUUGGAAAUACUCUAUAAAGUCUAUAGAGAUACUACUGAGGGUGUGCACUUACCGGCAGGAGUCAAUCUCCAAGAAGUAAGCACACAUCUCUUUUUUGUAGACGAGAGAGUGAGCCUUCUAAACAGUAUGUACUGUGAUCUUAUUGCAAAGGGAACUGGAAGUGAAUACUUUGGCCAAGUUAUACAAUUUCUUCUGGGAUAG